UACAUGGGGCUCGAGCGUUAGUCGGAAUCACUGGGCUUAAAGGGUGCGUAGGCGGCUCGCCAAGUGCUUUGUGAAAUCCCGCAGCUCAACUGUGGAACGGCAGGGCAAAGUGGCGAGCUUGAAGCAGGUAGGGGCUGGAAGAACAGUUGGUGGAGCGGUGAAAUGCGUAGAUAUCAACUGGAAUGCCGAUGGGGAAGCCGGCCAGCUGGGCCUGUCUUGACGCUGAGGCACGAAAGCGUGGGGAGCAAACAGG
rnacentral:rRNA from 1 species